rnacentral:rRNA from 1 species
GACGAACGCUGGCGGCGUGCUUAACACAUGCAAGUCGAACGGCAAGGCCCUGCUUGUGUGGGGUGCUCGAGUGGCGAACGGGUGAGUAACACGUGAGUAUCCUGCCCUUCACUUUCGUAUAACUUCAGGAAACUGGGGUUACUACCGUAUAGGAUACCCUGUUGCAUGGUGGGGGUUGGAUAGUUGAGGCGGUCGCGGUUGGAUUCGCGGCUUUUCGGCUAGCUGGUUGGCGAGUGGCUUACCCAGCCUGUGAAGGGUCGCCGACCUGUGAGGGUGAACGGCGACAUGGGGACUGAGAUACGGCGCAGACUCCAACGGGAGGCAGAAGGGGGAAGUAUUGCACAGUGGGCGGACGCGUGAGGAAGAAACGCCGCGUGCGGAAUGACGGCCUUCGGGUUGUAAAACGCUUUCGCCUGUGACGAAGCGUGAGUGACGGUAAUGAAUAAAGAAGCACCGGCUAACUACGUG